AUGAGGUGUGGGUGUGUCGCCUGGAACAAGGAGAAAAGAGGGGAAAACCCUCUUGUUCAACAAAUCAGUAAAAUUGAAAGGGAAAUCAGAGUCUGAUCGAAUGCAUGAACACUAAUCCUUGAUCACUUAAGAAUUUCCUACAUAAGGAAUCAAGGAAGAAAGCUCGAGUCGUUCCGGGUCACAAACAAACAACGACAAAGGUAAAUCCCAUUGUUAAGGGCGCUACUUGGAUCGAACACAAGCAUGAUGCACGCUUCCGUGAAGAAACUAGUCAUGGUCAAAACUUUUGUAAAUGUUUUUCUUUUGUUCUAAACGGUUCUUUUGUAAGUUUUAUAAUCCGAUAGUCGUAGAUGUUGAACUUGUAGAUGAAAGAUUAAACUAGUUGUUUAUGUAAUGUUUGGGUUAAAAACU